GGAGAGGUGGCUCAGUGGUUGAGCAGGGACUGCUCUUCCAGAGGACCUGGGUUCAAUUCCCAGCAUCUACA
rnacentral:tRNA from 1 species